GAAGUGGAGGCUGAGCAAAAGAUGCUUCAAGAGGCCAUAAAGAAUGCUCGAGAAAGGGAUCGCAGAACUCUAUUACGUGCUAUGGAGAAGGGGAAAAGUAAGAGUUCAAAUAAAAACAAAUCAGCAGUUGAAGAAGAAACUAAGGUUAAGGAUUCAAUCCAUUCAUCAACUAAUGAGAAAGCUGAAUUAGGCAGAAAUGAGGAUGACGAUGAAAUUACCGAUGACACAGAUGACGAUAAUUACGAAGACGAAGAUGAAUGUGAAAAUGAAGAAAAUGACGAUAGAGAGGAAGAUAAAGAGUAGGUAAAUUAAUCCUGGUUAGGGGCAUGUUUUAC
rnacentral:misc_RNA from 1 species